GACGUAGGGCGCAAGCGUUGUCCGGAUUUAUUGGGCGUAAAGAGCGUGUAGGCGGCUUGGUAGGUCCGCUGUGAAAACUCGAGGCUCAACCUCGAGAUGUCGGCGGAAACCACUUGGCUAGAGUCCGGAAGAGGAGAGUGGAAUUCCUGGUGUAGCGGUGAAAUGCGCAGAUAUCAGGAAGAACACCUAUGGCGAAGGCAGCUCUCUGGGACGGUACUGACGCUGAGACGCGAAAGCGUGGGGAGCGAACAGG
rnacentral:rRNA from 1 species